GAAUGGGCAGAAGAAAAGGCAGGUUGCAGGUCAGAGGAGAGAGAUAAAGAGGAGACAGUGGGCUUGCAACCAAUGCCUGGAAUCAUAUUCACCAAUGAGUUUGGUCAGGAGAUACAGGAUACCACGGAGGGCAUAGAGGGAGAUAGUUCAAGAUGGGGCCUGUCUAGCCAGGUUGAUCUAGACGGAUCUGGGUCAGAGUACGAGACUGCUGAAGAAUGGGGUGAUGUCCCAGGACAAAACGGUGGGUGGGUCAAUGCAGAUGAUGAGCUUGAAUGUACCGAGAAUAAGAAUCCAGUUGUGGCACCAGAACAAGGCACUGUGGCCCAAGAGUGCUCUGCAGACUGGGGCACGGCUGAUGGUGUCCCCGAGCAGAUUAUCCCUGCUGACUCUGGGUUUCGUGGUGAUGCAUUUGCAGCCAACUGGGAUCAGCCUGAAGCAACACUGUGUAUCUCAGAGCUUGAAAAUGAAAGCUUGGAUGGCCCGCUUUCAGACCCAGCCAAAGCAGGAGCAAAUAUGCCUCAAAAUGUUCUUGAAUCUACUACGAGUUCAGACCCAUUUCACACUGAAGUUAAUGAUCCAUUUGGUACAGGGGAUGAUCCUUUUGCAGCAAGAGGGGAUGACCCAUUUGGGAAUGGGAACGAUCCAUUUGCCAACUCGGACCAAGAUCCCAGUGGCUUUUCUGGAAGUGAUCCAGGCAGCAAUCUUUUUGGUACUGAAGGGUUAUCAACAGAGAGUCCAAAAAGUGGGUUUCAUUCUGAUCCGUUUGCAGAGACCCAGCCAGGAGGCGAAGAACAGUUGGCAGUGGACCCCUUUGUCACUGAAUUCACAUCAGACCCUUUUGCUGCUGGGGGCAAUCAGGACCCAUUUUCUAAUGAUGUCACAUCUGAUCCUUUUGCCAAUGAAAGUGGUGGGGACCCAUUUACCAGUGAGAACAACCAGGGGUGGGCAGAGGGUUGGGAAGCCACUGGGACAAAGGAGAUUGGUGGAGAAGAAAAAGACUCUGAUGUCAUUGAUGACAAAACUGGACAUGCCAAUGGGUUUGCCCAGUGGGAAGCUUUUCCUGCACCAGCUGCAGACUCUGAGAACUCCAGUAAAGGCUCCUGGCAGGAGGUGAGUGAUA
ensembl:lncRNA